UUACCCUACGGGGCGCAGCAGUAGGGAAUCUUCCACAAUGGACGAAAGUCUGAUGGAGCGACGCCGCGUGAGUGAAGAAGUAAUUCGUUACGUAAAGCUCUAUCAGCAGGGAAGAAAAUGACGGUACCUGAGUAAGAAGCCCCGGCUAACUACGUGCCAGCAGCCGCGGUAAUACGUAGGGGGCAAGCGUUAUCCGGAUUUACUGGGUGUAAAGGGAGCGUAGACGGUGCGCCAAGUCUGGAGUGAAAUGCCGCAGCUUAACUGCGGAACUGCUUUGGAAACUGGCGAACUAGAGUGCGGGAGGG
rnacentral:rRNA from 1 species